GUCCCUGUAGCGCAAUGGAUAGCGCUUUGGACUUCUUAUCAAAAGGUCGUGGGGAUGGAAUCCUACCUGGGAUG